rnacentral:tRNA from 1 species
AAGGGUGUAGCACAGUGGUUAUAGUGCUUGCCUAGCAUGCAUGAGGCCCUAGGUUCAAUCCCAGCACCAUAA